ensembl:lncRNA
UUAGGCAACGUAAGGUUUGCUGUUUCCACCUGGCCUUGCUGCAGUGAAUUUCCCAUGGUUGGGAUAUUCUCUGCCUGACUUUGAGACGCCUCCAUCCCACUGGCUUUGCUGUGUGUUUGACAAAAAGAAAGAGGUCUUCUCUAAACUUUGCCAGGCUCAGUUGCAGGAGGGCACAAAUGCUUGGGAUAACAGAAGGAAGGGCACAGUCGUGUCUGGUGAGAUACAGGUAUUCAGAUGGCUCCCUGCGUGAGCAUGAAGUCCUCUUGGUUCCCUGACCCCGUUGUUUGUGUUGGCUUCCUGGGGU